AUGAGAACCUUAAGAAGCUUCGAUGGCUUCCCUUUAAAUUUGAGCAACUUCUAUGGUGGCUGCGCUAUUCUUCUUCUUCUUCUUGUUGUUGUUACUUUAUUGUUUCUUCUGAACCGUAAGAGCAGAUCCCUGUUGGCGUCCUCUUUGAUCUCCGAUUCUAGCAAUUUAAACCCAAGAACCUCAAACACUGUCACUGAUGCUGAUUUGAAGUUUUUAAUGGAUGAAAUUCUAAAUCAGAACCAUAAAUGGGAGGAUGUCAUAGAUAAAACAAAUCAUCUUCUAUGCUACAAAGCUAAAUCCACCAAACCUAAGAAUGGUCCCCUGAAAUAUUGGAAAAGCAAUUAA
rnacentral:lncRNA from 1 species